UACAGAGGGUGCGAGCGUUAAUCGGAAUUACUGGGCGUAAAGCGUGCGUAGACGGUUAUUUAAGUCGGGUGUGAAAGCCCCGGGCUCAACCUGGGAAUUGCAUUCGAGACUGAAUAGCUAGGGUACGGUAGAGGGAAGCGGAAUUUCCGGUGUAGCGGUGAAAUGCGUAGAUAUCGGAAGGAACAUCAGUGGCGAAAGCGGCUUCCUGGACAAGUACCGACGUUCAGGCACGAAAGCGUGGGGAGCAAACAGG
rnacentral:rRNA from 1 species